AAAGCGGGAGCAAUCUCGCAAGUACAGUGGCGUACGGGUGAGUAACACGUGGAUUAUCUGCCCUGGAGUGGGGAAUAACGCUGGGAAACCGGCGCUAAUACCGCAUAUUCCCGAGAGGGGAAAGCAGCAAUGCGCUCGAGGAGGAGUCCGCGGCCGAUUAGCUAGUUGGCAGGGUAAAAGCCUACCAAGGCUAUGAUCGGUAGCCGGCCUGAGAGGGCACACGGCCACACUGGCACUGAAACACGGGCCAGACUCCUACGGGAGGCAGCAGUGGGGAAUCUUGCACAAUGGGGGAAACCCUGAUGCAGCGACGCCGCGUGAGCGAUGAAGCCCUUCGGGGUGUAAAGCUCUUUCGGCAGGGAAGAUUAUGACGGUACCUGCAGAAGCAGCUGCGGCUAACUACGUGCCAGCAGCCGCGGUAAUACGUAGGCAGCAAGCGUUGUUCGGAGUUACUGGGCGUAAAGGGUGUGUAGGCGGCCUGUUAAGUUCCGUGUGAAAUCUCCCGGCUCAACCGGGAGGGUGCGCGGAAAACUGGCGGGCUAGAGUACGGGAUGGGAGAGUAGAAUUCCUGGUGUAGCGGUGAAAUGCGUAGAUAUCAGGAGGAAUACCGGUGGUGUAGACGGCUCUCUGGACCGUAACUGACGCUGAGACACGAAAGCGUGGGUAGCAAACAGGAUUAGAUACCCUGGUAGUCCACGCCCUAAACGAUGCAUAUUUGGUGUAGGCAGUUCAUUCUGUCUGUGCCGGAGCUAACGCGUUAAAUAUGCCGCCUGGGGAGUACAGUCGCAAGGCUGAAACUCAAAGGAAUUGAC
rnacentral:rRNA from 1 species